CACGGCACUCUCAGAGAUUCUCCAGAGGCGCCGUGUAUUUUAAAGAGCAAAGCGGGGAAGUGUGGCCACCCAGAAAAGCAACACACUCUUAAAAUGUUUUGUAGAUAAUAGUUGUUUGUUAGUGUGUUGGUUGGACAAGAUAGUGUACUUAGCGCUUUGUUAGCGAUCCGUUUCCUGUCCUGUCCUUUCUGUUCGUGACCGCCUGAGGGAAAAGAAGUGCGCGACGUGUUAGUUUGUCGAAGAAACAAAAAGUGCGACAAGUACACACGGUGAACAUAAAGUUAAAAUUGUGUAAAAGCCUAAAAACAAGCGUAACAAACAUAAACAUUGUUAAAACACACGGAAACAAACGAGCAAUCGAAAAACAAAGAAAAAGGUCCAAGAGGGCCUUUUUCUUUCUGGUUUGUGCUGGUUCUGUCGAGCCACAAUUCCUUCAUCCCCAGGCAAUCACCAGAUCCGGACAGAAAGGUCCCUGCGUGCCUCGACUCCAUCGAUACAACACCUCGAGUCGGCACCUAACCUUACAUCCAUGGGUCAGCAUCGACACAAACAUCUCGCUGUCCCUAACGCAUGCAAAGUAGUACCGAGCACGGGUGGAAUCGUUCCGAAAACAGCGAUUCACAGUCGUGUCAACGGAUGCGGCUAUUCACAACCAUCGGAAUCCGCCAUUGGUCGUGGCGGAAAGCUAGAUCGACCGAAGCAUCGUAGCAACACAAUAAUACCGCAAGUACCCCAUGUUGUAGCACGUCAUAAAGUUAGGGCUAUCCAUUAGGAAUAAAAACAUCCAUAUUUGUGAACCGUAGACCUCCGUAAGUGAUUUAUUCUUUCGGGUUUUCCCACGAAUCUAAGAUCAGAAAUUGUCUUCAGUCCUCGCCCUGGGGUGGUCCUAACAGUUUGACAGGUUUUACAGUUCCUCUUUAAUUGAUGUCGUCUAACUCUGGUUGGUAGCAUGAGAGGUACCCACCCGUUUCGGCACCCUGGAUAUGCACGUUCGCUGAAUCUGGAAGUUCCUGUUGUGAGAUACCGCAGAGGAAAGUGAACAGUGGUGAACUUAACAUAACGACCCUGAGUCCCAUAAUUUCUCCUCCCACAUCCCACUGAGUGUAGCUGUCAGUCAAGUUACAUUCUGGCGCCCACAU